UCGGAUAUGGUGCAAAGGAUAGCAUGACCUCGUGAAUUCUCCCAUGGUCCGGGAUAAGAGGUAGAUCGAGGUUCGAUUCCUCGUGUCCGUC